AUUGAAACUGUGAAAAAGGAAAGUAGUAUAAAGGAAGGUUACAGAGAGAAAAGGAUGCUGAGAACUUUUUGCCAGUAAUUUAUAACGAAGUGCCCUUUGGAGUUUAAGCCUGAAAUAAUAGUACGGUGUUACGGGUUCACCCGUUAUAGUGAAGAGGUAUGAUUGUACCUUUAUUGAGUGGGAUUAUUUUCAUAUAAUCCAAGUAGAGUGGAACCACGGAUAUUUUAUCGUCUCUAAG
rnacentral:ncRNA from 1 species